rnacentral:rRNA from 1 species
GGGUACGGGGAUUAGGGUUCGAUUCCGGAGAGGGAGCCUGAGAAACGGCUACCACAUCUAAGGAAGGCAGCAGGCGCGCAAAUUACCCAAUCCUAAUACAGGGAGGUAGUGACAAGAAAUAACAAUACAGGACUUUUUGGUUUUGUAAUUGGAAUGAGUUAAGUAUAAACCCCUUUACAAGUAUCAAUUGGAGGGCAAGUCUGGUGCCAGCAGCCGCGGUAAUUCCAGCUCCAAUAGCGUAUAUUAAAGUUGUUGCAGUUAAAAAGCUCGUAGUUGGAUUUCUGUUAAUAAUUUAUAUAAAAUAUUUUGAUGAAUAUUUAUAUAAUAUUAACAUAAUUCAUAUUACUAUAUAUUUUAGUAUAUGAAAUUUUACUUUGAGAAAAUUAGAGUGCUUAAAGCAGGCAUAUGCCUUGAAUACUCCAGCAUGGAAUAAUAUUAAAGAUUUUUAUCUUUCUUAUUGGUUCUAAGAUAAGAAUAA